GCCAGGCUGGCGAGCUCGGAACUGCACCGCCACAGCGCGCUCCUGCUGAGUCUGGAGCUCUGGCGUCUCCUCGGCCUCCCGCUCUGCGCCUACCACCCUCUUCCCUCCUCCUCCUCCUCCUCCUCCCGGCUCCCCCUCCCUCGGCUGCUCGCAGCCUCGCCAGUGAGAAUCUACUGUAAGUGUGAGUUGCUUAAACGGAGUCCCACACCCGCGGAGGGAAGUAAUCUGGAGGCUGCCGCGAUCUCAUUGGAUUUAAUUAAAAGACUGACAUAGAGAUUUCCUUGGUGAUCCAAUAGUUAAAAGUCCACGCUGCCAGUGCAGGGGGUGGAAAGUGUUCAGGCUGCUGCUCUAACUUAUACCAUACACUGGUUGGCCUACAACAAAUCCAUUUACUUCUCGCAGUUCUGGAGGCUGAGAAAUCCAAGAGGAAGGUGCCAGCAGAUGCGGGGCCUAACUGGGCUUCUCAUCACUUCCACUGGGCAGUGAUCAAGACCAUCAGCCUCAAAAAGAAAUGCAAUAAGGCAAAACGGUUGUCUGAGGAGGCCUUACAAAUAGCUGAGAAAAAAAGAGAAGCUGAAGUCAAAUGAGAAAAGGAAAUAUAUACCCAUCUGAGUGCAGAAUUCCAAAGAAGAGCAAGGAGAGAUAAGAAAUCCUUCCUCAGUGAUCAAUGUAAAGAAAUAGAGGGGGAAAAAAUAGAAUGGGAAAGACUAGAGAUCUCUUCAAGAAAAUUAGAGGUACCAAGGGAACAUUUCAUGCAAAUUGGGUACAAAAAAGGACAGAAAUGGUAUGGAUCUAACAGAAGCAAAAGAUAUUAAGAAUGGGUGGCAAGGAUACACAGAAGAAAUAUACAAAAAGGAUCUUCAUGAUCCAGAUAAAUAGGAUGGUAUGAUCGCUCACCUAGAACCGGACAUCUUGGAAUAAGAAGUCAAGUGUGCCUUAGAUGUGCCAGAAACACAUCUACUUCUGCUUUAUUGACAACGCCAAAGCCUUUGAGCAUGUGGAUCACCACAAACUGUGGAAAAUUCUUCAAAAGAUAGGAAUACCAGGCCACCUGACCUGCCUCUUGAGAAAUCUGUAUGUAGGUCAAGAAAAAACUCUUAGAACUGGAGAACUGGACAUGGAACAGUAGACUAGUUUCAAAUUGGGAAAGAGGUAUAUCAAGGCUGUAUGUUGUCACCUUGCUUAUUUAACAUAUAUGCAGAGUACAUCAUGUGAAAUGCCAGGUUCAGUGAAGCACAAGCUGGAAUCAAGAUUGCUGAGAGAAAUAUCAAUAACCUCAGACAUGCAGAUUAUACCACCCAUAUGGCAGAAAGUGAAGAGAAACAGAGGAACUUCUUGAUGAAAGUGAAAGAGUGGAGUGAAAAGUUGGCUUAAAAGUCAACAUUCAAAAAAUGAAGAUCAUGGCAUCUGGUCCCAUCACUUCAUGGCAAAUAGAUGGUAAAACAGUGGAAACAGUGACAGACUUCAUUUUCUUGAGGUCCAAAUUCACUGCAGAUGGUGACUGCAGCCAUGAAAUUAAAAGACUCUUGUUUCUUUGAAGAAAAGCUUUGACCAACUUAUACAGCAUAUUGAAAAGCAGAGACAUUACUUUGUCAACAAAGGUCCAUCUAGUCAAGGCUACGUUUUUUUCCAGUAGUCAUGUAUGGAUGUGAGAGUUGGACCAUAAAGAAAGCUGGGCACUGAAAAUUGAUGCUUUGGAACUGUGGUGUUGGAGAAGACUCUUGAGAGUCCCUUGGACUGCAAGGAGUUCCAACCAGUCAAUCCUAAAGGAAAUCAGUCCUGCAUAUUCUUUGGAAGGACUGAUGUUGAAGCUGAAACUCCAAUACUUUGGCUACCUGAUGCCAAGAAAUGAUUCACUGGAAAAGACCUUGAAGCUGAGAAAGUUUGAAGGCAGGAGAAGGGAUGACAGAUGAUGAGAUGUUUGGUUGGCAUCCCUGACUUGAUGGACAUGAAUUUAAGUAAGCUCUGGGGGUUGAUGAUGGACAGGGAAGACUGGUAUGAUGCAGUCCAUGUCGUCACAGAGUUGGACACGACUGAGGGACUGAAAUAAACUGAACAUGGCGUGUAAUUGUUUUUCAGGGAAAAGGUUGACAGGUACAUUUUAGUUCAAUCGAUCUUGGAAAUAUUUUAUAAUAAAUAGCACUGAUUUGUGUCCUCACUAAAUGAGGGGCGCUCAACAGAUUUGGGAGAAAAGGAAAUGAUUGCAAGAGAUUAGUAACAAGUUAGGGUACUUUCUUAUUUCUUAAGUCCAAUUACUUUACAAAAUUAUGUAGAGUAGUUUUUAUGCAAAUAAAUAUUUUAAGGAUAUAUGGAGUUCAAGAUUUUGCAGUUUAAUUCUAACCCUCCUGCAGAUAGCAAUAUAAGAUAGAAAUGUGUCAGAGAACAGAGUUUGGGGUUGGGGACAUAUUUGAAAAUUUAUGGAGGAAACUCUGAAAAGAGGGAUUUGGAUAGAAGAUGGGAACAAAGAAUGUUUAAAAACUGCAAGAAUCCUAAUAAAAUACUAAAGUUUUCAAACAAGAACAUGAGGAAAUCUCUCAAAAUGUAGUAACUCAAAUGUGAAAGAUUUGGGUGACUGUUUCAGUUGCUGCCCAUGUAAGGGAGACAUGAUUUGAGUUCAGCCAAGUGAAAUACCUGCUUGGAAAAAAAAAAAAAAUUAACCCUCUGAAUAGAAUUAUAGGAAAAUAUAGAAUCUCUACAAUGACAUGAAUAAAUAUAAAUAUAAACAUAAUAUCCAGUCAGAAACAAUGAGAAUGCAAAGAACAUUAAAAUAUAGAAUUUAUACAGGAAAAAAUGUAGCCAUUAGAAAAUCUUCAUGAAAUUAUCAGUAUAUUGAAAUUAGCAACAUAUGCAUAAAAUAGCUAUUAAAAUAUGCUUAAUGAGUUAAAGGAAGAUACACUCAUGUAUAAUCAGAUGAGAAAUCAAUAAAGAAACAGAACUAUAAAAAAGAACCAAAUCAAUGCAGUGAGCCUAAGAAGUAUAGCUGAAAUAAAGAUUUUAAUCCAUGAAAUUAAUAAAAAAUAGGAGGCUGUACAUGAAAACAUCAGUGAACUGGAGAUAAAUCAGUUGAAAAUAUCUAAUUUGAAUAAUAUAAAUAUUAAGUACUCUGAAAUAUAUGUAAUUGAAGUACUAUGGAAAAGGAGAACAAGAAUGGGGCAGAAAAUUAUUCGGAAAUAUAUUAUAGCCCCAAACUCACAAAUCUGAAGAAAAAACAUCAAACUACAGAUGUAUGUACUUUAAAAAAAUCACAUCGUUGCAAAACUGUGGAUAUCAAAAAUAAAGAUAAAAAAACUAAAAGAGGCAGAAGAAACGAUCCUUCACAAACACACAAAAAGGAAUUAAAAUAACUGCUGACUUAUUAGGAAAAAAAAAUGUCUUUACAACAGAACAAUCAGUCCAAUGUGCUAAACAAAAGCUACUAUCAAUGGGAAUGUGAUAUCUAUAAAAAUAAGUAUUCAAAAAUGAUAGGAGAAAAACAUUUUAUUGUAAACCAAAACUGAGAGAAUUCAUCGUAUUCAAAUUUAUGUACCAAAAAAUGCUAAAGAAAUAACUCAGGAUGAAGGAAAAUAACUUCAGAUGGUAGCUUCAAUACAAAUAAAAAGGUACAGGUGUUAAAUGUGAUUAAAUAAAAGCCAGUUUUAUUUUCAGCCAAGAUGGAGCAAAAGGGACGAGAUUUACCUUCCCACCCAAAACAACAAAUAUCCAGACAAAAUAAAUGAAACAAUAACACCCAGCAAUGUAAUCUCCAAGAGAUGGGAAAGAAAUGAGAUGUGCCAUAUAAUUGUCUCAGUGUACUGUCUGGAAAACAUAACCGAAGGCAGAAUUCAACUAUCUCUCAGGAGAGGAGAGGGGUCUAGGAGCCUAGGAGGCUAAGGCAGCCAAAGUUCAUAGUGCAGAGCACAAGAAAGGAGGAGGAGAAGGAGAAGAGAGAGAGAGAGAGAGAUCUGGAUUUCUGCAGUAUCUGCAUAAUACUAAGUGGGGAGUAUGUACAUGGAAAAUACCUGAGUUCAGAGAAAGAACCACCAAAAAUGAUUAGAAAUAGCAACCUGCAAAUCUCACACUAAAGAAUGUUGUUUGUUGUAAAAAGAAACAGUGUGGAAAACCUUAUAAUUCAUGAAGAAACAGAUGGACUACUAAAAAGAUCUUACUUAAUGAUUUGUAAAAUUAACACUAGUCUAAACACUGAUCUGCUUCCACCUAAUAAAGUUUAAAGACAAUAUCCAUGAAGAUCAAAUGGUUUUGAAUAAGUUAAUUGUACCCUGGAAGAAGCUCAGUAUUUAUAGGAAUACAAAAUUAUCCAUCAUCCAACGAGGACAAACUGUACCAUAUAAUUAAAAAUUAUCAUGCACCCCCAAAGCAGAACAAUUUGCCCAUUGAAGAAAGAAAAAGAAUCUAUUAAAAUAAUCCUAGGUAUGACACAGAUGUUAUUUGCCACAGCCAAAAACUUGGAACAGCUCUAACGCCCACCAAAAAUGGAUUGGUCAAACAAUAGAAUGUUACUCAGUAUAACAUAAGAAUGAUAAAAUAAAACUGAUAUAUAGAACAAUGUGGAUGAAUAUUAAAAUAAUGGUUUCAGUGAGAAGCCAAACCAUAUAGUAAAUUCUGUAUGAAUUCUUUUAUACAAAAUUUUUUAAAAUGUACAUUGAGACUUCUAUAGUCUCAAGAAGCAGAUCAAAGGUUGUCUGUUUGGAGAUUGCAGCACAUAUGAGGGAAGAAAUACCAAAGAUCAAAAGGAAACCUAUGGAAAUGUUGGAUAUGUUUAUUAUGUUGAUUUUCUUAAUGGUUUAAUGAGUACACACAUGUCAAAGCUUAUGAGACUGUAUAUCUUAACCAUGAGCUGUUUUGUAUAUCAAUUGUACAUCAAUAAAUAUGGUGAAACCAAACCAAAGACCAAGAAUAGCCCUGACAGUAUAUUCAGUUCAGUUCAGUUCAGUUCAGUCGCUCAGUCAUGUCUGACUUUGUGACCCCAUGGAUUGCAGCACUCCAGGCUUCCCUAUCCAUUACCAACACCUGAAGCUUACUCAAACUUAUGUCCAUCAAGUCAGUGAUGCCAUCCAACCAUCUUAUCCUCUGAUGUCCCCUUCUCCUCCUGCCUUCAAUCUUUCGCAUCAUCAGGGUCUUUUCCAAUGAGUCAGUUAUUCAUAUCAGGUGGCCAAAGUAUUGGCAUUUCAGCUUCAACGUCAGUCCUUCCAAUGAAUAUGCAGGACUGAUUUCCUUUAGGAUGGACUGAUUUGAUCUCCUUGCCUUCCUAGGGACUAUCAAGAGUCUUAUAAAAUACCACAGUUCAAAAGCAUCAAUUCUUCUGUGCUCAGCUUUCUUUAUGCUCCAACUCUCACAUCCAUACAUGACUACUGGAAAAACCAUAGCUUUGACUAGAUGGAUCUUUGUCUGCAAAGUAAUGUCUCUGCUUUUUUAACAUGCUGUCUAGUUUUGUCUAGCUUUUCUUCCAAGGAGCAAGUGUCUUUUAAUUUCAUGGCUGCAGUCACCAUCUGCAGUGAUUUUGUACCCCAAGAAAAUGAAGUCUGUCACUGUUAAUACAAUAUUAUCAGCCAUAGUUCUAGUUAUUAACUUAGAAUGUUAUAUGUCCAGAAAUAUCCAAGUUUCCUACUAAUUGCAUUGUACUCAAAUCUUUAACCAUGCUUUUUUAAGUUUUGACCUUUCAAUCAUUAUUUUAUACCAUUUUUACAAAAUGAAGAUUUUCAAGAAGACUCAUAAAAACUACAUUUAAAAAAAUAAAUAUAAGUUUAUGAUAGCUUUUAGAUAAUACCACUGAACUGGGUAACAAAUGACAGAACUAAUGGAAAACCUGCUUACUUCAUUGAAAUCAACAGGAACUAAUUACCUUUGACUGAAUGAACUAAUGAGUAUAGUUUAUAACUUUUUGACUUUUUGAAAAAUAC
ensembl:lncRNA